AUUGAACGCUGGCGGCAGGCUUAACACAUGCAAGUCGAGCGGGGUGAUGGUGCUUGCACUAUCACUUAGCGGCGGACGGGUGAGUAAUGCUUAGGAAUCUGCCUAUUAGUGGGGGACAACAUCUCGAAAGGGAUGCUAAUACCGCAUACGUUCUACGGGAGAAAGCAGGGGAUCACUUGUGACCUUGCGCUAAUAGAUGAGCCUAAGUCGGAUUAGCUAGUUGGUGGGGUAAAGGCCGACCAAGGCGACGAUCUGUAGCGUGUCUGAGAGGAAGUUCCACCACAAUGGGAGUGAGACACGGCCCAGUCACCUACGGGAGACAGCCGUGAGGAAAAUUGGACAAUGGGGGGAACCCUGAUCCAGCCAUGCCGCGUGUGUGAAGAAGGGCUAAUGGUUGUAAAGGACUUUAUGCGAGGAGGAGGCUCUUUUGGUUAAUACCCAAGAUGAGUUGACGUUACUCGCAGAAUAAGCACCGGCUAACUCUGUGCCAGCAGCCGCCGUAA
rnacentral:rRNA from 1 species